AGUCGUUGAUUUCACACUGCCGAGAAAAGCCUCUAGCUAGAAUAACGGUGCCCGUACCGCAAACCGACACAGGUAGUCAAGAUGAGAAUUCUAAGGUGAGCGAGCGAACUCUCGUUAAGGAACUCGGCAAAAUGACCCCGUAACUUCGGGAGAAGGGGUGCUCUUUGAGGUUCACGCUUCGAAGAGCCGCAGUGAAUAGGCCCAAGCGACUGUUUAUCAAAAACACAGGUCUCUGCUAAACCGUAAGGUGACGUAUAGGGGCUGACGCCUGCCCGGUGCUGGAAGGUUAAGAGGAGUGGUUAGCGCAAGCGAAGCUACGAAUCGAAGCCCCAGUAAACGGCGGCCGUAACUAUAACGGUCCUAAGGUAGCGAAAUUCCUUGUCGGGUAAGUUCCGACCCGCACGAAAGGCGUAACGAUUUGGGCACUGUCUCAACGAGAGACUCGGUGAAAUCAUAGUACCGGUGAAGAUGCCGGUUACCCGCGACAGGACGGAAAGACCCCGUGGAGCUUUACUGUAGCCUGAUAUUGAAAUUCGGUACAGUUUGUACAGGAUAGGUAGGAGCCUUAGAAGCGUGAGCGCUAGCUUACGUGGAGGCAUUGGUGGGAUACUACCCUAAUUGUAUUGGAUUUCUAACCCGCAGCACUUAUCGUGCUGGGAGACAGUGUCAGGCGGGCAGUUUGACUGGGGCGGUCGCCUCCUAAAGAGUAACGGAGGCGCUCAAAGGUUCCCUCAGAAUGGUUGGAAAUCAUUCAUAGAGUGUAAAGGCAUAAGGGAGCUUGACUGCGAGACCUACAAGUCGAGCAGGGUCGAAAGACGGACUUAGUGAUCCGGUGGUUCCGCAUGGAAGGGCCAUCGCUCAACGGAUAAAAGCUACCCCGGGGAUAACAGGCUUAUCUCCCCCAAGAGUUCACAUCGACGGGGAGGUUUGGCACCUCGAUGUCGGCUCAUCGCAUCCUGGGGCUGUAGUCGGUCCCAAGGGUUGGGCUGUUCGCCCAUUAAAGCGGUACGCGAGCUGGGUUCAGAACGUCGUGAGACAGUUCGGUCCCUAUCCGUCGUGGGCGUAGGAAAUUUGAGAGGAGCUGUCCUUAGUACGAGAGGACCGGGAUGGACAUACCUCUGGUGUACCAGUUGUCGUGCCAACGGCAUAGCUGGGUAGCUAUGUAUGGACGGGAUAAGUGCUGAAAGCAUCUAAGCAUGAAGCCCCCCUCGAGAUGAGAUUUCCCAACUUC
rnacentral:rRNA from 1 species